UACCAGCACCCCGAGUGGUCGGGACGAUUAUUGGGCCUAAAGCAUCCGUAGCCGGCCUUACAAGUCCUCCGUUAAAUCCAGCUGCUUAACAGAUGGGCUGCGGAGGAUACUAUAAGACUAGGAGGCAGGAGAGGCAAGCGGUACUCAGUGGGUAGGGGUAAAAUCCGUUGAUCCAUUGAAGACCACCAGUGGCGAAGGCGGCUUGCCAGAACGCACUCGACGGUGAGGGAUGAAAGCUGGGGGAGCAAACCGG
rnacentral:rRNA from 1 species